rnacentral:sRNA from 1 species
UGAUGGAGUCAACAAGGCGGAUUGCCGCAUC